rnacentral:rRNA from 1 species
UGGGGAAUAUUGCACAAUGGGGGAAACCCUGAUGCAGCGACGCCGCGUGAGCGAAGAAGGUUUUCGAAUCGUAAAGCUCUGUCCUAUGAGAAGAUAAUGACGGUAUCAUAGGAGGAAGCCCCGGCUAAAUACGUGCCAGCAGCCGCGGUAAUACGUAUGGGGCGAGCGUUGUCCGGAAUUAUUGGGCGUAAAGGGUACGUAGGCGGUCUAUUAAGUCAGGUGUGAAAGCGUGAGGCUUAACCUCAUUAAGCACUUGGAACUGAUAGACUUGAGUGAAGGAGAGGAAAGUGGAAUUCCUAGUGUAGCGGUGAAAUGCGUAGAUAUUAGGAGGAAUAACGGUGGCGAAGGCGACUUUCUGGACUUUUACUGACGCUCAGGUACGAAAGCGUGGGGAGCAAACAGG